rnacentral:rRNA from 1 species
CACGCCGUAAACGAUGGGUGCUAGGUGUCGCAGGCUUUGACCCCUGCGGUGCCGUAGCUAACGCAUUAAGCACCCCGCCUGGGGAGUACGGCCGCAAGGCUAAAACUCAAAGGAAUUGACGGGGGCCCGCACAAGCGGUGGAGCAUGUGGUUCAAUUCGACGCAACGCGCAGAACCUUACCUGGGCUAGAAAGUGCAGAAACUUGGUUGAAAAAUCGAGGUGCUCUUCGGAGAAUCUGCAGUUAGGUGC